UACGGAGGGGACUAGCGUUGUUCGGAAUUACUGGGCGUAAAGCGCACGUAGGCGGAUUUGUAAGUCAGGGGUGAAAUCCCGGGGCUCAACCUCGGAACUGCCUUUGAUACUGCAAAUCUCGAGUCCGGAAGAGGUGAGUGGAAUUCCUAGUGUAGAGGUGAAAUUCGUAGAUAUUAGGAAGAACACCGGUGGCGAAGGCGGCCCACUGGUCCGGUACUGACGCUGAGGUGCGAAAGCGUGGGGAGC
rnacentral:rRNA from 1 species